GACGGAGGAUGCAAGCGUUAUCCGGAAUGAUUGGGCGUAAAGCGUCCGCAGGUGGCAGUUCAAGUCUGCUGUCAAAGACCGGGGCUUAACUUCGGAAAGGCAGUGGAAACUGAACAGCUAGAGUAUGGUAGGGGCAGAGGGAAUUCCUGGUGUAGCGGUGAAAUGCGUAGAUAUCGAGAGGAACACUCGUGGCGAAAGCGAGUUGCUGGACAGUAUCUGACGCUGAGGCUCGAAGGCCAGGGUAGCGAAAGGG
rnacentral:rRNA from 1 species